ensembl:snRNA U6 U6 spliceosomal RNA
GCAGCACAUAUACUAACUAUACUAAAACUGGAACGAUAUAGAGAUUAGCAUGGCCCCUGUGCAAGGAUGACACACAAAUUUGUGAAACGUUACAUAUUAAA